rnacentral:rRNA from 1 species
UUAAGGGUGCAGGGCGGAUGCCUUGGCACUAGGAGCCGAUGAAGGACGUGAUAAGCUGCGAUAAGCUUCGGGGAGUUGCACGUAAACUUUGAUCCGAAGAUUUCCGAAUGAGGAAACUCACUUAGAGUAAUGUCUAAGUAUCAUUAAGUGAAUACAUAGCUUAAUGAGGGGAACUCAGGGAACUGAAACAUCUAAGUACCUGAAGGAAGAGAAAGAAAUUCGAUUCCGUAAGUAGCGGCGAGCGAACGCGGAUUAGCCCAAACCAAUAAAGUUUUCUUUAUUGGGGUUGCGGACAUAUCAUAACGAAGAGGUAUCGUAAUUGAAGAGGUUUGGAAAGACCCACCACAGAAGGUAAUAGUCCUGUAUGUUAAACGAGAAGACUUUAGAUAUGAUCCAGAGUACCACGGGACACGUGAAACCCUGUGGGAAGCAGGAGGGACCACCCUCCAAGGCUAAAUACUACCUAGUGACCGAUAGCGUAUAGUACCGUGAGGGAAAGGUGAAAAGAACCCCGGGAGGGGAGUGAAAUAGAACCUGAAACCCUGCACUUACAAGCUGUGGAAGCACAUUUCUUGUGUGACCGCGUACUUUUUGUAGAACGGGCCAACGAGUUACGUUAAGUAGCAAGGUUAAGCACUUAAGGUGUGGAGCCGUAGCGAAAGCGAGUUUUAACUGAGCGUUCAGUUACUUGACGUAGACCCGAAACCGGGCGACCUACCCAUGAGCAGGAUGAAGCGAAAGUAAAAUUUCGUGGAGGUCCGAACCCACGAGCGUUGAAAAGCUCGGGGAUGACUUGUGGGUAGCGGUGAAAUUCCAAUCGAGCCCGGAGAUAGCUGGUUCUCCCCGAAAUAGCUUUAGGGCUAGCCUCAAGGUGAGAGAUACGGAGGUAGAGCACUGAAUGUCCUAGGGGGUAUUGCACCUACCGAAGACUAUCAAACUCCGAAUGCCGUCAUCUUAUACUUGGGAGUCAGACUGUGGGUGAUAAGAUUCAUAGUCGAAAGGGCAACAGCCCAGAUCGUCAGCUAAGGUCCCUAAAUGUAAGUUAAGUGGUAAAGGAUGUGGGAUUGCACAGACAACCAGGAUGUUGGCUUAGAAGCAGCCACUCAUUCAAAGAGUGCGUAAUAGCUCACUGGUCGAGUGAUCCUGCGCCGAAGAUUUCCGGGGCUAAAACUUACUACCGAAGCUACGGCAUCAGUAAUGAUGGGUAGGGGAGCUUCCCAUACGGGUUGAAGCAUGACCGUAAGGACAUGUGGACAGUAUGGGAGUGAGAAUGUUGGCAUGAGUAGCGAGAUGUGGGUGAGAAUCCCACAGGCCGUAAACCCAAGGUUUCCAGGGGAAGGUUCGUCCGCCCUGGGUUAGUCGGGACCUAAGCUGAGGCCGAAAGGCGUAGGUGAUGGACAACAGGUUGAUAUUCCUGUACUACCGAUAACCGUUUGAGAGAAGGGAUGACACAGUAGGAUAAGCUAAGCACACUGUUGGUUAUGUGUGCCCAAGCAUUGAGGCAGUCAAAGUAGGCAAAUCCGCUUUGAUAAUGCUAGGAUGUGAUGGGGAGCGAAAUUUAGUAGCGAAGUAGCUGAUUUCACACUGUCAAGAAAAGUCUCUAUCGAGGUUAAAGGUACCCGUACCGCAAACCGACACAGGUGGGUGAGGAGAGUAUCCUAAGGCCAGCGAGAGAACUGUUGUUAAGGAACUCGGCAAAAUGACCCCGUAACUUAGGGAUAAGGGGUGCCACCAUCAGGUGGCCGCAGAGAAUAGGCCCAAGCGACUGUUUACCAAAAACAUAGGUUUCUGCUAAGUCGCAAGACGAUGUAUAGGAGCUGACGCCUGCCCGGUGCUGGAAGGUUAAGGGGAUCUGUUAGAGCAAUCGAAGCAGUGAACUUAAGCCCCAGUAAACGGCGGCCGUAACUAUAACGGUCCUAAGGUAGCGAAAUUCCUUGUCGGGUAAGUUCCGACCCGCACGAAAGGCGUAACGAUUUGGGCACUGUCUCAACAACAGACUCGGUGAAAUUGUAAUUCCGGUGAAGAUGCCGGAUACCUGCGACAGGACGGAAAGACCCCAUGGAGCUUUACUGUAGCUUGACAUUGGGUCUUGGUACUACAUGUACAGGAUAGGUGGGAGGCUUUGAAACCAGGACGCCAGUUUUGGCGGAGCCAUCCUUGGGAUACCACCCUUGUAGUACUGGGACUCUAACCAUAGGCCAUGAAUCUGGUCUUGGGACACUGUCAGGUGGGCAGUUUGACUGGGGCGGUCGCCUCCCAAAAGGUAACGGAGGCGCUCAAAGGUUCUCUCAGUACGGUCGGAAAUCGUACGUAGAGUGUAAAGGCAAAAGAGAGCUUGAUUGCAAGACAUACAGGUCGAGCAAGGAUGAAAAUCGGACUUAGUGAUCCGGUGGUUCUGCGUGGAAGGGCCAUCGCUCAACGGAUAAAAGCUACCCUGGGGAUAACAGGCUUAUCUCCCCAAGAGUCCACAUCGACGGGGAGGUUUGGCACCUCGAUGUCGGCUCAUCACAUCCUGGGGCUGUAGUAGGUCCCAAGGGUUGGGCUGUUCGCCCAUUAAAGUGGUACGCGAGCUGGGUUCAGAACGUCGUGAGACAGUUCGGUCCCUAUCCGUCGCAGGCGUAGGAAAUUUGAGAAGACCUGUCCUUAGUACGAGAGGACCGGGAUGGACGUACCUCUGGUGUACCAGUUGUCCUGCCAAGGGCAUGGCUGGGUAGCUAUGUGCGGAAUGGAUAAGCGCUGAAAGCAUCUAAGCGCGAAGCCAACUUCAAGAUAAGAUUUCCCACCGCAAGGGUAAGACCCCAGAAAGACUAUCUGGUUGAUAGGUCGAAGGUGUAAGUGCAGCAAUGUAUUUAGCUUAUCGAUACUAAUAGGUCGAGGACUUGACC